rnacentral:lncRNA from 1 species
GUGGGGCUGCUGGGGCCCUGCCAGGAGCCACUGGCGCUGCCUUUGGGAAUGAAGUUCCACAGCCCCCCACUCAUUGCUUUGGCUGUCUGCUGCAUUUGAAACUGUACGAGGGUCAGGAAGAAGGCUGCGGGGAUGAAUGGCUCUACCGGCUUGCCACGGAUGGGGAACUGGAGCAGCCAGUGGCCCCAAGAGGAGGAAGGAAGGGAGGCACGGCAGACCCAACACCAGCUGUGCCAGGCUUUGGGGGGUGAACCCAUGAGGCAUCGUCACACACUGACAUUUUCAUCCCUCCUCAGCAGCUGCUUCCGGCUCCCUGAGACCCAGCCAUGGAAGGCAUAGAAAGGCAUGUGACAAGAAACUCAUGGCUUUUAAUCCUGGCAGGACAAGGAAAACCCCGUCAAAGAUUUGCAUAAAUUUUGCUGCUCUCCUGCUGGGGGGGGGGGGGGGGCAGUUCGUCACAUUUAAUAAAAUUCUCUCCCUCCCUUCUCCCGACUGCAUUAUCUCAUAUUUAUUU